rnacentral:rRNA from 1 species
AGAUUAAGCCAUGCAUGUCUAAGUAUAAGCAAUUAUACAGCGAAACUGCGAAUGGCUCAUUAUAUAAGUUAUCGUUUAUUUGAUAGCACCUUACUACUUGGAUAACCGUGGUAAUUCUAGAGCUAAUACAUGCUAAAAAUCCCGACUUCGGAAGGGAUGUAUUUAUUAGAUUAAAAACCAAUGCCCCCUGGGCUCUCUGGUGAUUCAUGAUAACUUCGCGGAUCGCACGGCCUUGCGCCGGCGAUGGCUCAUUCAAAUUUCUUCCCUAUCAACUUUCGAUGUUUGGGUAGUGGCCAAACAUGGUUGCAACGGGUAACGGAGGGUUAGGGCUCGACCCCGGAGAAGGAGCCUGAGAAACGGCUACUACAUCCAAGGAAGGCAGCAGGCGCGCAAAUUACCCAAUCCCGACACGGGGAGGUAGUGACAAUAAAUACUGAUACAGGGCUCUUUUGGGUCUUGUAAUUGGAAUGAGUACAAUUUAAAUCCCUUAACGAGGAACAAUUGGAGGGCAAGUCUGGUGCCAGCAGCCGCGGUAAUUCCAGCUCCAAUAGCGUAUAUUAAAGUUGUUGUGGUUAAAAAGCUCGUAGUUGAACCUUGGGCCUGGCUGGCCGGUCCGCCUCACCGCGUGUACUGGUCCGGCCGGGCCUUUCCCUCUGUGGAACCCCAUGCCCUUCACUGGGUGUGGCGGGGAAACAGGACUUUUACUUUGAAAAAAUUAGAGUGCUCCAGGCAGGCCUAUGCUCGAAUACAUUAGCAUGGAAUAAUGAAAUAGGACGUGCGGUUCUAUUUUGUUGGUUUCUAGGACCGCCGUAAUGAUUAAUAGGGACAGUCGGGGGCAUCAGUAUUCAAUUGUCAGAGGUGAAAUUCUUGGAUUUAUUGAAGACUAACUACUGCGAAAGCAUUUGCCAAGGAUGUUUUCAUUAAUCAGGAACGAAAGUUAGGGGAUCGAAGACGAUCAGAUACCGUCGUAGUCUUAACCAUAAACUAUGCCGACUAGGGAUCGGACGAUGUUAUAUUUUGACUCGUUCGGCACCUUACGAGAAAUCAAAGUGCUUGGGCUCCAGGGGGAGUAUGGUCGCAAGGCUGAAA